UGAACCCACCACAGGUUACCUUCUCCAAGUCUACUGCCCUCAACCCAGCUACCUUACUCCCCGACGGGAAUCAAGGAGAACUGCUCCACGAUUGCCACUCGUUACUAGACUCCAUAGAGGGAACCAGACCGGACCUCAAAGACGAGCAAAUAGCCAACUCUGACUAUGACCUCUAUACUGAUGGGAGCAGUUUCAUCAGGGAUGGAACUCGGUAUGCCGGGGCAGCAGUAGUCACCAAUUUACAGAUCUCAAGACUAUAGCCACUUCGGAGGUUACCCGAUGUUCUGCCAGUGCACAGGUAAAUCCAGGGCCUCCCAGACCCCGUGGACUUGGGGUCCGAAUCAGAGGGCAUGAACCAGUCUUUGCAGGCCAUCGAAGUCAUCAGAAGAGAGGCCCGCCUCUCAGCCAAGGAAAGAAAACAACCCACUGAAGCGGAACCACCCCUACUGGACAUUGAGCCUGGUGACUGGAUUUGGAUCAAGAAGUUUAACAAGGAAACCCUCGAACCUACCUGGGAUGGGCCCCACUUGGUAAUUCUGACAACCCCCAUAGCCUUUAAGGUGUCUAAUAAGAGACCGUGGAUUCACCACACCCAGGUAAAGAAAGCACACCCUGAUCAGAUCCCAAAGAAAUGGGCUCUUUUCAAGGAUCCCACAGACCCUCUAAAACUCAAGUUUACUGCAUCCUCUUGAGUUUGUUGUGGGUCCCUACCUUCUGCAGCAUUCCAACUAAACAUACCUGGGUCCUCACCAGGACUAGAGAUGGCUCUAGGCUAGCCAUCAAUGAGACCUUCCAAGCCUCCCAGGUAACCCUUAAGACGGACUUUUCACAAUUCUUCGAUGACAACCUCUGUCACGGAGAAUUUGGUUCCCGUCACACAACCCAACAAAUAACUCGCUUUGGCUCAGCAAGUAAAACUUCAGUCUGUAACCAUGACACCUUAACCAUGUUCUGUGGAGCACUCAGCAUUAUGGUUGUCCCGAGAACCCAUUCCCCAGGCAUAUGAGGACUAUAUGUGGUGGACCGGGAGAAUUUUAUUGUAAGGUCUGGGGUUGUGAGACCCUAGCCCUUGGAUGGUCACCAGGGGGCGGCAAUGAUAAUGAUAUAACCCUCCUGCGGGACCCCACACCCCAUGCCCACAAGGGAAAAGAUGGAAUAGACCCUACUUGCAAGAACCAAACUUGUAACCCCACCACUAUUACUAUAAAACAGCCUCUAAACUCAGCCUGGCUUACUGGAAAAACAUGGGGAUUGAGACUAUAUCUCGCUGGA